rnacentral:rRNA from 1 species
AGGCCUAACACAUGCAAGUCGAGCGGUAGAGAGAAGCUUGCUUCUCUUGAGAGCGGCGGACGGGUGAGUAAUGCCUAGGAAUCUGCCUGGUAGUGGGGGAUAACGUUCGGAAACGGACGCUAAUACCCGCAUACGUCCUACGGGAGAAAGCAGGGGACCUUCGGGCCUUGCGCUAUCAGAUGAGCCUAGGUCGGAUUAGCUAGUUGGUGGGGUAAUGGCUCACCAAGGCGACGAUCCCGUAACUGGUCUGAGAGGAUGAUCAGUCACACUGGGAACUGAGACACGGGGUCCAGGACUCCUACGGGGGGAGGGGCAGCAGGUGGGGGGAAUAUUGGGGACAAUGGGCGAAAGCCUGAUCCAGCCAUGCCGCGUGUGUGAAGAAGGUCUUCGGAUUGUAAAGCACUUUAAGUUGGGAGGAAGGGCAGUAAAUUAAUACUUUGCUGUUUGACGUUACCGACAGAAUAAGCACCGGCUAAACUCUGUGCCAGCAGCCGCGGUAAU